rnacentral:lncRNA from 1 species
GGGGAAAUUCUCUAACUUUGGGUAAAAUCCUCAAACUAGGAGCCACGAUAUAUAGUUUCCAGCUCCUGGGAUUGCCAAAGGCUACUCAAGGAAGUCGAGCGAGAGUAGAGAACAACAUCCUUUUGUGUGAGUAGUUGUGUUUCAAUUCUCAUUGUACACACCUUUCUUAAGUUUUUCAUUCUCUGCUUCCUUCUGUGCUCUCUUCUUCUCAAACUCAACUUGCUUGCAGUUUUCCUCGUGUGAUCGCACAAAUAUUCUAACAAAGUUUUGCAGAGUGGAUACAACUGCAGAUUCAAAUCAAACACCAAGAUUUGGUAUAUCUUAAGGUCAGGGACAGAAAGGACACAACUCCAAAAACCAAAUGAAAAUAAUGUAUAGAAAAUAAGAUGUAAGAAGAGAAGAAACCAUAAUAGUGAGUUUGCAUUAAAUUGUUACCU